rnacentral:rRNA from 1 species
AAGGGCACCACAAGAACGCGUGGAGCAUGUGGCUUAAUUUGACCCAACGCGGGGAAACUUACCGGGUCCGGACACACUGAGGAUUGACAGGCGCCUAAAUUGUGCGAGUCCUUUCAUGAUUGUGUGAUAGGUGGUGCAUGGCCGUUCUUAGUUCGUGGAGUGAUCUGUCUGCUUAAUUGCGCUUCAGAUUAUUUGGACAUUCCUUUCAAGGCCGGUCCCUUGGGCUUCUCUUGUAGUCGCCUUUGAGGGUCUCGGUCUGAGGAUGUCCUACGAAAGCAACGAACGUGACCG